AGGGCACCACCAGGAGUGGAGCCUGCGGCUUAAUUUGACUCAACACGGGAAAACUUACCCGGCCCGGACACUGGAAGGAUUGACAGAUUGAGAGCUCUUUCUUGACUCAGUGGGUGGUGGUGCAUGGCCGUUCUUAGUUGGUGGAGCGAUUUGUCUGGUUAAUUCCGAUAACGAACGAGACUCUAGCCUACUAAAUAGACUGCCCAAUUUUAAACGUGCGUAACCCUGCUUAUACUUCGGGGCUUGGACUGAACCGGUGACGUUGGCAGGGCUUAUUAGAGGUGAUGAGCGGCGGUUCCCCCCGCCGAAACAAAGCUACAACGGGGUGGUGAUGCCCUUUUAUGCACCGGCUCUGACGCGAGGUAAAAACCCAUGGACCCCGUGUCGUUAACGGUUCCGACUCCCGCAAGAAUGGCCAAUCCACUGAGACUUCCUCGUGAGUGGGAGUGAUGAUUGUAAUUAUUUCCCUUGAAUGCCGAUUGUCCACUAAGCGCGACGCUACAACUUGCUGUGAGUUAG
rnacentral:rRNA from 1 species